AGAGACAGCAGUAGCCGCGGUAAUACGUAGGGUGCAAGCGUUAAUCGGAAUUACUGGGCGUAAAGCGUGCGCAGGCGGUUAUAUAAGACAGAUGUAAAAUCCCCGGGCUCAACCUGGGAACUGCAUUUGUGACUGUAUAGCUAGAGUACGGCAGAGGGGGAUGGAAUUCCGCGUGUAGCAGUGAAAUGCGUAGAUAUGCGGAGGAACACCGAUGGCGAAGGCAAUCCCCUGGGCCUGUACUGACGCUCAUGCACGAAAGCGUGGGGAGCAAACAGGAUUAGAUACCCCAGUAGUCCCUGUCUCUUAUAA
rnacentral:rRNA from 1 species